CGAGUUCCUGUACGAUCACCGAAAUUAAGCAACGUCGAGCCUGGUCAGUACCUAUAUGGGUAACCGAUUGGGAAUACCAGGUGCUGUAAG